rnacentral:rRNA from 1 species
GUAGGGAAUAUUGCGCAAUGGAGGCAACUCUGACGCAGCCAUGCCGCGUGCAGGAAGAAGGCGCUACGCGUUGUAAACUGCUUUUAACCGGGAAGAAACCCCAGGACGUGUCCUGGGUUGACGGUACCGGAGGAAUAAGCACCGGCUAACUUCGUGCCAGCAGCCGCGGUAAUACGAAGGGUGCAAGCGUUAUCCGGAUUCAUUGGGUUUAAAGGGUGCGUAGGCGGAGCGUUAAGUCAGUGGUGAAAUCCUGCAGCUUAACUGUAGACUUGCCAUUGAUACUGGCGCUCUUGAGUGCGCUUGAAGUGGGCGGAAUGUGCCGUGUAGCGGUGAAAUGCUUAGAUAUGGCACAGAACACCAAUUGCGAAGGCAGCUCACUAAGGCGAUACUGACGCUGAGGCACGAAAGCGUGGGGAUCGAACAGGAUUAGAUACCCCAGUAGUCC